rnacentral:misc_RNA from 1 species
GAUGAAGAACGCAGCGAAAUGCGAUAAGUAAUGUGAAUUACAGAAUUCAGUGAAUCAUCGAAUCUUUGAACGCACAUUGCGCCCAUUAGUAUUCUAGUGGGCAUGCCUGUUCGAGCGUCAUUAAUUCCACUUAAGCCCUGCUUAGUGUUGGGAAUCUACUCUAGUGGUGCUACCCUGGAGCUACCCCUGAAAGGGGGCUGGCCCGGUAGCUACCCUGUAGUUCCUCAAAGAUAGUGCGCGGAGUUGCGUGGUCCUCUGAGCUUAGUAACUAUACACCUAGCUUUUGAGUGUCCCGCGGCGCCUGCCGUUUAAACCCCAUCUUUUAAUGGUUGACCUCGGAUCAGGUAGGAAUACCCGCUGAACUUAAGCAUAUCAAUAAGCGGAGGA